rnacentral:rRNA from 1 species
CCUACGGGCGGCUGCAGUGAGGAAUAUUGGUCAAUGGACGAGAGUCUGAACCAGCCAAGUAGCGUGAAGGAUGACUGCCCUAUGGGUUGUAAACUUCUUUUAUAUGGGAAUAAAACGUUCCACGUGUGGGAUUUUGUAUGUACCAUAUGAAUAAGGAUCGGCUAACUCCGUGCCAGCAGCCGCGGUAAUACGGAGGAUCCGAGCGUUAUCCGGAUUUAUUGGGUUUAAAGGGAGCGUAGGUGGAUUGUUAAGUCAGUUGUGAAAGUUUGCGGCUCAACCGUAAAAUUGCAGUUGAUACUGGCAGUCUUGAGUACAGUAGAGGUGGGCGGAAUUCGUGGUGUAGCGGUGAAAUGCUUAGAUAUCACGAAGAACUCCGAUUGCGAAGGCAGUUCACUGGACUGCAACUGACACUGAGGCUCGAAAGUGUGGGUAUCAAACAGGAUUAGAUACCCUGGUAGUC